CUUUGAUUAUUAAUGUUUUAUACGCACAGUGUAUGUCUCCAUAUAUCCUAUCUGUAAUAUCAGUUAUGAAAUACAAAUCAAAUUUUAUUUGUCACAUACACAUGGUUAGCAGAUGUUAAUGCGAGUGUAGCGAAAUGCUUGUGCUUCUAGUUCCGACAAUGCAGUAAUAACGAACAAGUAAUCUAACUAACAAUUCCAAAAAAACUACUGUCUUAUACACAGUGUAAGGGGAUAAAGAAUAUGUACAUAAGGAUAUAUGAAUGAGUGAUGGUACAGAGCAGCAUAGGCAAGAUACAGUAGAUGAUAUCGAGUACAGUAUAUACAUAUGAGAUAAGUAUGUAAACCAAGUGGCAUAGUUAAAGUGGCUAGUGAUACAUGUCACAUGGGACUAGGUGUGUGUGCAGGAAUCAGACGCAGAGAGAGAGAGAGAGAGAGAGGUGAUUGGCUGUUUCGAGACAGAGACUGCGGUUGGCUAGCGAGACAUAGGUAGGAGAGUUCCAUUUGCAAAGAAGAAAGACUGUAACAAAACGCAAGUGGCAGUAAGGACAGAAGAAUAAAUCAAACAUCUCAGAGGCGUGUCCAUACAAGGAGAAAAUGAUGAAUGAAUAUAGGCUGGUCAGUCAUUAAAGAAUAAUACGCCUUUCUGUAAACAACCUGAGAAAGCUUCUGACAUUUGAAAUAUUCAAAUUAAGAUAAAGCAAGAAACCCCAAAAUAGACAACAGAAUGUCAAGCCUAAAAAAUACAAUGUUUAUUACAGUAUACAUUUACAUAAAGUAAAUCAUAUUUACAAAGGUUUAUUGCUCUUCCAUUUUUCACUAAAACACUUCAGGUAAAAAGGUGUCAAUUUCUCCCUGUUUAUCUUCAAGAACUAAACCAACGAGACGAAAACGGAACAAUCUCAUUCUUCCUCAGUCAAUCAAGUUUCUUACUUAGAUCUCUAUGAAAACUAAUGACUAGUACAUGCAGUGGCUGCACCAAUUAUGACCAGUGUACCUGCUGAACAAGACUAUAAACGCAACACGCAACAAUUUCUAAGAUUUUACUGAGUUACAGUUCAUAUAAGGAAAUCAGUCAAUUAAAAUACAUUAUUUAGGCCCUAAUAUAGGGAUUUCACAUGACUGGGCAUGGGCGCAGCCACAUGACAUAGGCCCACACACUGGGGAGCCAGGCCCAGCCAAUCGGAAUGAGUUACUGCCAAAUUCUCUAAAACGACGUUGGAGGCGGCUUAUUCAAUUCUCAGAACAACAGU
rnacentral:lncRNA from 1 species